rnacentral:rRNA from 1 species
GAUCCUUUGGCUCAGGAUGAACGCUAGCUACAGGCUUAACACAUGCAAGUCGAGGGGCAGCAUGGACCCAGCUUUGCUGGGUUUGAUGGCGACCGGCGCACGGGUGAGUAACGCGUAUCCAACCUGCCCUUUACUCCGGGAUAGUCUCCUGAAAGGGAGUUUAAUACCGGAUGUGUUUGUCUUUCCGCAUGGGAGCGACAAAUAAAGAUUAAUUGGUAAAGGAUGGGGAUGCGUCCCAUUAGCUUGUUGGCGGGG